AGCUCACAACCAGUCAGAAUGGAAGAUGCCAUUGACACUCUGGUGAAAAUGUUCAAGGACUAUGCCAAGUCCGAUUCAAAGGCUGACACACUAAGCAAAGACGAGCUUGAGAAUAUGGUGAAUAAAGAACUUCCUUUUAUCAAGAAGGGACUAGGCCAAGGAGGAAUAGAUGAACUGCUCAGGGCAUCAGAUGAGAAUAACGAUGAGGAGUUGAAUUUUGAAGAGUUCUGGACGAUGGUUGGCAAACAAAUCAUCUUAUACAAAUUCUAAGGGAAACAAGCAACUUUAUUAAAUAUCUACAGGAAGAUGAACCUUUGUUUUAUUAUCUGUGUCUCUUCUUCAUAUUUCUGUAAUGUAAACUGUGAUAGGACCCAUCUUGUAGUCUAGACCUCAUUUAGAGAUGAUCAAGAAAUGGCCGGGUUUGGGCAUGUCCUCUGAUGACGGUACUCUUCUGGGGCUUCUAUUUACUUCUACUAUUAGACUUGUUUUGUGUAUUGCAGGGGUUCAAAUCAAACUUCAAUCAAACUUUGAGAAAUCCUGUACUAUGUUUUAUUUGACAUUACUUAGGUGAUGUAAUUGCUUUCAUAGCCUUAUAAAGGUUUUUCGGGUUUAUUUUAUAUGUCAGUGUUGUUUAAAACAAAAUGUGCUGGAUAAAUAUGGAGCUUGCAAAGGAUUUUAUGUGUUAAACAUUGAUGACAGUGUGCUAGAGGACUACAAUAAAUCACAUUUUAUUACAAAA